CACGUAGGGCGCGAGCGUUGUCCGGAAUUAUUGGGCGUAAAGAGCUCGUAGGCGGCCUGUUGCGUCCGCUGUGAAAGCCCGGGGCUUAACCCCGGGUCGGCAGUGGAUACGGGCAGGCUAGAGGUAGGUAGGGGAGAAUGGAAUUCCCGGUGUAGCGGUGAAAUGCGCAGAUAUCGGGAGGAACACCGGUGGCGAAGGCGGUUCUCUGGGCCUUACCUGACGCUGAGGAGCGAAAGCGUGGGGAGCGAACAGGAUUGAGAU
rnacentral:rRNA from 1 species